GCGUUCUGUAAGCCGUUGAAGGUGGCCUGUGAGGGUUGCUGGAGGUAUCAGAAGUGCGAAUGCUGACAUAAGUAACGAUAAAGCGGGUGAAAAGCCCGCUCGCCGGAAGACCAAGGGUUCCUGUCCAACGUUAAUCGGGGCAGGGUGAGUCGACCCCUAAGGCGAGGCCGAAAGGCGUAGUCGAUGGGAAACGGGUUAAUAUUCCCGUACUUGGUGUUACUGCGAAGGGGGGACGGAGAAGGCUAUGUUGGCCGGGCGACGGUUGUCCCGGUUUAAGCGUGUAGGUGUGUGUUCCAGGUAAAUCCGGUUCACUUUAACACUGAGGCGUGACGACGAGGCACUACGGUGCUGAAGCAACAAAUGCCCUGCUUCCAGGAAAAGCCUCUAAGCAUCAGGUAACAUCAAAUCGUACCCCAAACCGACACAGGUGGUCAGGUAGAGAAUACCAAGGCGCUUGAGAGAACUCGGGUGAAGGAACUAGGCAAAAUGGUGCCGUAACUUCGGGAGAAGGCACGCUGACACGUAGGUGAAGUGAUUUACUCAUGGAGCUGAAGUCAGUCGAAGAUACCAGCUGGCUGCAACUGUUUAUUAAAAACACAGCACUGUGCAAACACGAAAGUGGACGUAUACGGUGUGACGCCUGCCCGGUGCCGGAAGGUUAAUUGAUGGGGUCAGCGCAAGCGAAGCUCCUGAUCGAAGCCCCGGUAAACGGCGGCCGUAACUAUAACGGUCCUAAGGUAGCGAAAUUCCUUGUCGGGUAAGUUCCGACCUGCACGAAUGGCGUAAUGAUGGCCAGGCUGUCUCCACCCGAGACUCAGUGAAAUUGAACUCGCUGUGAAGAUGCAGUGUACCCGCGGCAAGACGGAAAGACCCCGUGAACCUUUACUAUAGCUUGACACUGAACAUUGAGCCUUGAUGUGUAGGAUAGGUGGGAGGCUUUGAAGCGUGG
rnacentral:rRNA from 1 species